rnacentral:misc_RNA from 1 species
AGCAGCCGCGGUAAUUCCAGCUCCAAUAGCGUAUAUUAAAGUUGUUGCAGUUAAAAAGCUCGUAGUUGAAUUUCGGGGUUAGUAGGUUGGUCAUGCCUCUGGUAUGUACUGGUCUCACUGAUUCCUCCUUCCUGAUGAGCCGUAAUGCCAUUAAUUUGGUGUUGCGGGGAAUCUGGACUGUUACUUUGAAAAAAAUUAGAGUGUUUAAAGCAAGCUAACGCUUGAAUACAUUAGCAUGGAAUAAUGAAAUAGGACGUUCGAUCCUAUUUUGUUGGUUUCUAGGAUUGACGUAAUGAUUAAUAGGGAUAGUUGGGGGCAUUAGUAUUCAAUUGUCAGAGGUGAAAUUCUUGGAUUUAUUGAAGACUAACUACUGCGAAAGCAUUUGCCAAGGAUGUUUUCAUUAAUCAAGAACGAAAGUUAGGGGAUCGAAGACGAUCAGAUACCGUCGUAGUCUUAACCAUAAACUAUGCCGACUAGGGAUCGGAUGAUGUUAAUUUUUUAAUGACUCAUUCGGCGCCUU